UCACAGCGCCCAGGAUGCA
rnacentral:misc_RNA from 1 species